CUCCACCGCCUGCUUGUUUCGCCAUGCACGGGCGGGACGGUGGGGCUGCAGCGGCGAAAGCGACUGAAGUCCGGGAGCAGUCGCAUGAGCUUCCCGGUCACCAGGAGGCCCCGGGAACAGACACCUCACCCUGACAUUGUGGCAGGAACUUCUGGAUUGCUUUCCAAAGUGGCUGCACUGUUUUCUAUCCCCACUGGGCAGGAAAACAUCUAAGAAAGGAGGCUCCCCCUUCCCUUGCAGGGUUACCAGCAAUUAAAAAGAAGUACUAGAGAGGCAAAUAUCGGCAGUAUACAUCUAAGCGCUGGUCGGAAAAGAAGGAACUCAGCCCAAGAACUUGCCCAAUCUGAUACUGGAGGUGCCACUCAAGAACCACUCCCUCCAAGAUGUUUUCCUGGAUUUCCUCAGCCUAAAGUAAUCCCUCUUUUUCCUGGCUAUACCAUCUGGAACAGAUGACUUCCAAGGACACCGUAGCAAAGAAAAAGAGAACUGGAAGCCCAUGUGCCUUAAUCGCCUCAUCCUAGAGGGCUCAGCAGUCUGGAAAUAGAAACAAUGGUGGUGGAUCAAUUCAAUUGAUCCAGGUUUGGAAGUUGCGUGGCAAGUGAGAAGGAUUUGGAUGGUAAUGAUGAAUGUGUUUCUCACAAACUUGGGGACCCAUCUGGGAUCUCUGUGCCUGCGUGGAGUUGGACUCCGGCCAAGAGGGGAGAGGCGUCCCACCUGAUUUAAGUGGCCUGCUCUGUCUGGGAAUCCCGGCUCCCUGCAGAGGCCAUAGACAAACCUGAGACUGUUAUUCAGGAGGCAGUGGAGGUGACACAGGGAGAAAAGCAGGCACCGUGGCAACCAGGCAACCUCAUGUACGAGCCAAGGAGAAGAAGCAGCAGACACCAAUGCAGGAUUGGUCUUCCACUUCCAGUCUGGACAAGAUAGCAUAGACUCAUUUCUCCCUGCUUCUCCCAGAUGGAGUCUUGCUCUGUUGCCCAGGCUGGAGUGCAGUGGCACGAUGUUGGCUCACUGCAACUUCUGCCUCCCAGGUUCAAGCGAUUCUACCACCUCAGCCUCUUGAGUAGCUGAGACUACAGGGAAACUUGACUGAGAGGAAGAGAAAGCUAAAGAAGUAUCAAAUUCCUCUCUAAGACAUCUUCACUAGUCUUCCAGAACAUCUCCCCCUUGGGAAGCAGAACUCUGAGGUCCAGGAAGACCUUCUGACCAAUCCACUGAGACUGCCUCCUCUUCACUUUCUGGCCUCUUGAGCCAACAUCCAACAUGAUCUUCAUGAGAGGUUGCCGGUUACCUUUCUAAAAACGUAUUUGACCAGAUUUCUUCAUGAUAUUUCAAAAUGUAAAGGCAGAAAACAAGUUAAACUUUAAACAAAUUUAAAUUUAAACAAUCUAAAAGGGAAUUUAAGUAAAUGUAUGACUUUGUUGCAGAGGUUCUAGGCUUCCUUUUUUACAAAAGGAUGGGAAAUUUUAAAGCAACUGCUCUGACUAACCCAGAAAAAUCUUUCUUUGUUUAUCUCCUUUGUAUUUAGCCCCAAUAUCUGAGAAAAUUUUAAACAUAGUUUUUUUUUCUAGGAUUGGUGCCUAAGGGUCAUUCCCUUAUGAAAACCCUAACUUUUUUUACACCUUUGUUGAAUGAAGGAGCUGGUGGAAGUUCAAAUUUGUGUGUUAACAUGUGACUUCAAUUAGAGUCUGAAGAUGGCCACUUGUUAGUAAUCUCACACUGCAUCAUUUUAAAAAAACACAGCAUUUUUGUUCUGGUGAAGAGAGAGGCACUGGAAUUCAUCCCCAUUGUCCACUCCCCACCCAGUGUAUUUUACAGAAAUUCUUAACAAGUUUAAUAGUGUGCUAUUAUAACAUAAUUGCAGCAUUACACCAGAAGCAUUAUCAACACUAAGUAUUCUCCAAUUUAGAAUGCAUGAAUAAAGUCUCUAAAACUCUU
rnacentral:lncRNA from 1 species